CGGGGUGUGGCGCAGCGGUAGCGCGCCUGUUUUGGGAACAGGAGGUCGGCGGUUCGAUCCCGCCCACCCCGACCA
rnacentral:tRNA from 1 species